CCUACGGGCGGCUGCAGUGGGGAAUAUUGGGCAAUGGGGGGAACCCUGACCCAGCAACGCCGCGUGAGGGAAGAAGGUUUUCGGAUUGUAAACCUCUGUUCUUGGGGAAGAGUGAAAGACGGUACCCAAGGAGGAAGCCCCGGCUAACUACGUGCCAGCAGCCGCGGUAAUACGUAGGGGGCGAGCGUUGUCCGGAAUGAUUGGGCGUAAAGGGCGCGUAGGCGGCUUUGCAAGUCAGUAGUGGAAGUCCAUUUUUCAAGGAUGGAAGUGCUACAGAAACUGCGGAGCUUGAGUGCAGGAGAGGUUAUCGGAAUUCCCGGUGUAGCGGUGAAAUGCGUAGAGAUCGGGAGGAACACCAGUGGCGAAGGCGGGUAACUGGACUGCAACUGACGCUGAGGCGCGAAAGUGUGGGGAGCAAACAGGAUUAGAUACCCUUGUAGUC
rnacentral:rRNA from 1 species